rnacentral:rRNA from 1 species
AUAUUCUGUAGCAAGGUUAACCGUAUAGGGGAGCCGGAGGGAAACCGAGUCUUAACCGGGCGUUAAGUUGCAGGGUAUAGACCCGAAACCCGGUGAUCUAGCCAUGGGCAGGUUGAAGGUUGGGUAACACUAACUGGAGGACCGAACCGACUAAUGUUGAAAAAUUAGCGGAUGACCUGUGGCUGGGGGUGAAAGGCCAAUCAAACCGGGAGAUAGCUGGUUCUCCCCGAAAGCUAUUUAGGUAGCGCCUCGUGAAUUCAUCUCCGGGGGUAGAGCACUGUUUCGGCUAGGGGGCCAUCCCGGCUUACCAACCCGAUGCAAACUGCGAAUACCGGAGAAUGUUAUCACGGGAGACACACGGCGGGUGCUAACGUCCGUCGUGAAGAGGGAAACAACCCAGACCGCCAGCUAAGGUCCCAAAGUCAUGGUUAAGUGGGAAACGAUGUGGGAAGGCCCAGACAGCCAGGAUGUUGGCUUAGAAGCAGCCAUCAUUUAAAGAAAGCGUAAUAGCUCACUGGUCGAGUCGGCCUGCGCGGAAGAUGUAACGGGGCUAAACCAUGCACCGAAGCUGCGGCAGCGACACUGUGUGUUGUUGGGUAGGGGAGCGUUCUGUAAGCCUGUGAAGGUGUGUCGUGAGGCAUGCUGGAGGUAUCAGAAGUGCGAAUGCUGACAUAAGUAACGAUAAAGCGGGUGAAAAGCCCGCUCGCCGGAAGACCAAGGGUUCCUGUCCAACGUUAAUCGGGGCAGGGUGAGUCGACCCCUAAGGCGAGGCCGAAAGGCGUAGUCGAUGGGAAACAGGUUAAUAUUCCUGUACUUGGUGUUACUGCGAAGGGGGGACGGAGAAGGCUAUGUUGGCCGGGCGACGGUUGUCCCGGUUUAAGCGUGUAGGCUGGUUUUCCAGGCAAAUCCGGAAAAUCAAGGCUGAGGCGUGAUGACGAGGCACUACGGUGCUGAAGCAACAAAUGCCCUGCUUCCAGGAAAAGCCUCUAAGCAUCAGGUAACAUCAAAUCGUACCCCAAACCGACACAGGUGGUCAGGUAGAGAAUACCAAGGCGCUUGAGAGAACUCGGGUGAAGGAACUAGGCAAAAUGGUGCCGUAACUUCGGGAGAAGGCACGCUGACACGUAGGUGAAGUGAUUUACUCACGGAGCUGAAGUCAGUCGAAGAUACCAGCUGGCUGCAACUGUUUAUUAAAAACACAGCACUGUGCAAACACGAAAGUGGACGUAUACGGUGUGACGCCUGCCCGGUGCCGGAAGGUUAAUUGAUGGGGUCAGCGCAAGCGAAGCUCCUGAUCGAAGCCCCGGUAAACGGCGGCCGUAACUAUAACGGUCCUAAGGUAGCGAAAUUCCUUGUCGGGUAAGUUCCGACCUGCACGAAUGGCGUAAUGAUGGCCAGGCUGUCUCCACCCGAGACUCAGUGAAAUUGAACUCGCUGUGAAGAUGCAGUGUACCCGCGGCAAGACGGAAAGACCCCGUGAACCUUUACUAUAGCUUGACACUGAACAUUGAGCCUUGAUGUGUAGGAUAGGUGGGAGGCUUUGAAGCGUGGACGCCAGUCUGCGUGGAGCCGACCUUGAAAUACCACCCUUUAAUGUUUGAUGUUCUAACGUGGACCCGUAAUCCGGGUUGCGGACAGUGUCUGGUGGGUAGUUUGACUGGGGCGGUCUCCUCCUAAAGAGUAACGGAGGAGCACGAAGGUUGGCUAAUCCUGGUCGGACAUCAGGAGGUUAGUGCAAUGGCAUAAGCCAGCUUGACUGCGAGCGUGACGGCGCGAGCAGGUGCGAAAGCAGGUCAUAGUGAUCCGGUGGUUCUGAAUGGAAGGGCCAUCGCUCAACGGAUAAAAGGUACUCCGGGGAUAACAGGCUGAUACCGCCCAAGAGUUCAUAUCGACGGCGGUGUUUGGCACCUCGAUGUCGGCUCAUCACAUCCUGGGGCUGAAGUAGGUCCCAAGGGUAUGGCUGUUCGCCAUUUAAAGUGGUACGCGAGCUGGGUUUAGAACGUCGUGAGACAGUUCGGUCCCUAUCUGCCGUGGGCGCUGGAGAACUGAGGGGGGCUGCUCCUAGUACGAGAGGACCGGAGUGGACGCAUCACUGGUGUUCGGGUUGUCAUGCCAAUGGCACUGCCCGGUAGCUAAAUGCGGAAGAGAUAAGUGCUGAAAGCAUCUAAGCACGAAACUUGCCCCGA